rnacentral:rRNA from 1 species
ACUCCUACGGGAGGCAGCAGUGGGGAAUAUUGCACAAUGGGGGAAACCCUGAUGCAGCCAUGCCGCGUGUGUGAAGAAGGCCUUCGGGUUGUAAAGCACUUUCAGUAGGGAGGAAGGUAGUGUAGUUAACACCUGCAUUAUUUGACGUUACCUACAGAAGAAGCACCGGCUAACUCCGUGCCAGCAGCCGCGGUAAUACGGAGGGUGCGAGCGUUAAUCGGAAUUACUGGGCGUAAAGCGCAUGCAGGCGGCCUGUUAAGUCAGAUGUGAAAGCCCGGGGCUCAACCUCGGAAUUGCAUUUGAAACUGGCAGACUAGAGUACUGUAGAGGGGGGUAGAAUUUCAGGUGUAGCGGUGAAAUGCGUAGAGAUCUGAAGGAAUACCGGUGGCGAAGGCGGCCCCCUGGACAGAUACUGACACUCAGAUGCGAAAGCGUGGGGAGCAAACAGGAUUAGAUACCCUGGUAGCACAGAG